ACAUAUAAAAAUGUUGAUGGUCACGUGUGUCAUAUUGUGAUUGAAUGUAGACUUUAUGAAUGAUGAAAAUAUAUUGUUGUUGUCAACAUCCAAAACAUGUUACAAUCAUCGUCCAAUCAAGUUGUAACAUGUGACGGUCAACAUUC
rnacentral:pre_miRNA from 1 species